rnacentral:rRNA from 1 species
UCGAGAAUCUUCGGCAAUGGGCGCAAGCCUGACCGAGCGACGCCGCGUGCGGGAUGAAGGCCCUCGGGUUGUAAACCGCUGUCGUAGAGGAGGAAAUGUAGGGGGGUUCUCCCCUUUGCUUGACCUAUUCUAGGAGGAAGUACGGGCUAAGUUCGUGC